rnacentral:rRNA from 1 species
CCUACGGGUGGCUGCAGUGAGGAAUAUUGGUCAAUGGGCGAGAGCCUGAACCAGCCAAGUCGCGUGAAGGAUGACGGCCCUACGGGUUGUAAACUUCUUUUGUCAGGGAGCAAUUGGGUCCACGCGUGGGCUUAGCGAGAGUACCUGAAGAAAAAGCAUCGGCUAACUCCGUGCCAGCAGCCGCGGUAAUACGGAGGAUGCGAGCGUUAUCCGGAUUUAUUGGGUUUAAAGGGUGCGUAGGCGGAAUAUCAAGUCAGCGGUAAAAAUUCGGGGCUCAACCCCGUCGUGCCGUUGAAACUGUUUUUCUUGAGUAUCGGAGAGGUAAUCGGAAUUCCUAGUGUAGCGGUGAAAUGCGUAGAUAUUAGGAAGAACACCAGUGGCGAAGGCGGAUUACUGGACGACAACUGACGGUGAGGCGCGAAAGCGUGGGGAGCAAACAGGAUUAGAUACCCUAGUAGUC